UACUUUUAGAAUUCUACGUGGAGUAUUUCAUGCACUGCCACCAUGGGUGUUGCUAGGGGUGGAGGGUUUUGGUGGCUGAAGGGUUGUAGGGUUCUUCAGCCCUGAUUCUUUACAAAUGGUGGAAGGGACUGGAAUAUUUUUUUUAGUCUUACAUGAGGCAGCUGCUUUCCUAAGCAGUUGCCCAUUAUAAAAAAUAAAAAAAGCAUAUUGUUUUUCCAGGUGACUUAUGGGAGGAAGUGGUGCACCCCCAGAUGACUGUUAUAAGUUAUUGAGGAACAGAGGUUUGCCGCAUACGUACCCCUGUAUUAGUUACCUAAUGUGGUGGGAACGCUUUUAAUAAUACUUGGCUGUGCAUUUUUAUUAAGAUACUGGAGAGAUCAUCAGCAUGCUGAUCAUGGGUAGAGAGGAGGUGACAUAACUUAAAAACACAGGGAUAUGCAAGCCUCUUGAUUUAAGGGUCCUCUACCACCAUUCACCCUUAGUUCUCUGGUGUCCUGCAUCUGGGGAUACCAGGGAGC